rnacentral:rRNA from 1 species
UACGGAAUGUGCAAACGUUAUUCGGAAUCACUGGGCUUAAAGAGUCCGUAGGCGGCAUGUUAGGUGAGGUGUGAAAUCCCCCGGCUCAACCGAGGAAUUGCGCUUCAAACCGGCGUGCUAGAGGAAGAUAGAGGUGGGCGGAACUGAUGGUGGAGCGGUGAAAUGCGUUGAUAUCAUCAGGAACACCGGAGGCGAAGGCGGCCCACUGGGUCUUUUCUGACGCUGAGGGACGAAAGCUAGGGGAGCGAAGCGGG